GUGAAGUGAUGAUGAAGUUUAUCCAUUCUCUGAGUGUUGCUGCUCUGCCCUUCCUGCCACAUCCAGAUGCCUGUUCUAGGGUCUUGAUGCUCUGUGGCCUCCUGGCUCCUCCUAGCCUUGCAGUGUUCUGCUGGGGGCUGGGAGGGGCAUUAAGCUCGCUGCUGGCAGGGCCUGGGCAGAACUAGCAGGGCCAGAGCCCUCCUUCCAGGGGGGGUCUGACUCAGCCAAGAAGAAUGAAACUGUCUGAUCAC